AUACCGAACUUUGGAAAUGACCUUUUACCCCUGCACUAUUUAAUAGUUAUUUUAAAGGUAUAUAUGUGCCCAGGUGGACAUCAUAAAAAUUGCAUCAUUAUAAAUAGUAACGUGUCUACGUGAGCAAAUAUAUACCUUUAAAAUACACUAUUAAAUAGUGUAGGGGUAAAAGGUCUUUCAUAAAAUUUGGUAUCG